rnacentral:lncRNA from 1 species
GGCGUGGGUGCGAGAGAAAAAGGGGAGGGGGGUUAUUCUAUGAUUAUUUGCCAUCAAAAUAUAAAAAAAGACUUUUAGUUUCAAAGGAUAACUAGAUGCUCCGCAGGGCGCAGCUUUAUACGACCGCAGAGGUUGAACCCUGAACGGUUGGGGCAAGUAUGGACACAACAUUCAAGCUGGAUUCAGCUCUAAAUUUGGAUUGUGAUUAAAUAGUUGACACAGCAUAGGUUUCUGACACAGAAUGAAUGUAGUCUAAUGAACUUAAAAAAAAAAUGUUUGCCUUUGAGCAAUUCACUAUGCUGUUGAAUAUUAAUCCUCUCAAAAAAAUGUUUGAAGAAAUUUUCUUUUUAUUAAUGAAAUCUGAAAUGAAAAAAAUUGACCCUCCAAUUUUUUUUUCACAUCCCCCUUUCCCUUUUUCAAAACUGAUCUCAAUUCAAAUUUCUAAUGAAGUUUGCAACAAUAACUACUCAUUUAAAUACAUCAUAAAAUAUUAAAAUGUAAAAAAAGUG